UGAGGCUGUCAGGAAUACGAAGAGAACUCCCCUGCUCCAUCUGCUCAGCAAACUUUCAUCGUCCGUACGGGCUCUUUUAAUGCACUUCUAACGCUGCUUCUGUGUGAAUACACACCGCUACACACUGACUGGACAGUGACAUUCUCUCAGAAUGCCACUGUAUCCCCUUGGGGGCUGCCUGUGGGAUAAGAACUUGAAAGAAGUGGAAGGAGUCCUGCCCCUCUUCCCAGCCUUCCUUCUAACCAAGCAGCUUCCCUCCAACAGACCUACUUCAAAAGUCCAGACCCAGUGAAGUCACACAUGACCUCAUAAACCUCCCACUUAACUGUUUAAAAGCCAGAGCAGAGCUGGUAACCGGGAGAGACAGCAGAUUCCUCAGCAGAAUUGGGGUAGUUGCCGUUUAAGGAGGGGAAGUGUUCCUUCAACACCAUUCUAAAAUAAGUUGCUUGAACACAGUCUUUUAUAACAGCCCCGAGGUUUUUAAAGUACUGUGUUAAAAAGACACAAUUCCUAAUAGCUCACUUAUUCUGACUGAACUAGCCUACAAAACAAACUUAGUUCCUUUAUUUGACAACUAGUUAAAGGCAUGUUUGAUACCUACUGCAGUGGCUGGUGUUUUUCUAUUUUCAUUCUGACUUGGUUUCUGUUCUUUUCUGUAAUUGCCCUGUGAAAAUAUUUAUUGUCCUUUUGUUCAAAUUCCACUAUGGUCAGCCAAAAGUGGACAGGCCGCAUUCACAGCUGUCAGACAAGGGCAACAACUGCCACAAAAGCAUCUGAGGGGAGAACAGGGACAGGAGUAAUUGAGAAAUCUGAUCCAGACCCAGUCUCCAGACUCAACUAAUGGAUACCAGAGUCUCUACCAGAGCUCCUAAAGGGAGAGGGGAAUCAAUUAACUGCAAUGUUUUCUUUGCCAAUUUUCCCCUGACCUGGGCUAUUUUGUAAGAGAAGUGGGAACUAAGAGUUAGCUUAUAAACAGAAACACAGAAACACUGCAUAUGCUCAAAGAAAAUGGAGUAUGUAUAUCCAAGAGUAUAAGUUCACCAAAAACUAAUUACACUUUCCAUAAAUUUUUAUUCCGAAAUAUGUACCUAAGCCUAGAGAAAAAUUCCCAUAUUUACACAGGAAGCUAUUAUACAAAAUAAGUAUGUAUUGCCAUGUUCUUAGAGAUAAUAAUACAACUAUAAGAAAAUGGAAACAUAAUUAAAAUGCAUUCAUAUAAUGACUUUUAUAGCAAUUAACCUAUAAGGUAGGGCUUUAAAGUAAAUAAAUGUAUUUUAGAUGUUGGGUGGGCGGGGACGGUGAUACCACAGGAAACAAAGAGACAACAUCUAUAUGCAGUCUAAACGUGUGAAAAGACACUCUCUAAAGUCCAUGGACACAGUCUGAGAGGAAUGAUAAACAUCAACACUCCAGUCAGCCUGCCCCAGGGACGGAAAGGGGUGAAAGGUGGUCCUGAGUCUCUAAUCCAGAUGUGAUGUUUUCUUUCCCAAAGUGAAUGAUGAAACCACAGGCUUAUUAUUUUCUGCACUUGGACUUGGACUAGGCUGUGUGAUACCUACACUUUAAAGAGAAACAGUACCUGUUCAGGAUGGAGAUGAAUAGAAAAUAAGAUUCAUUCCUGACUCCCAGUUGCUAAAGUCCAAGCACCUGCUGCUGAUUCUAUCCAAGUCUCUAUGUCUUUAUCUGCCUGCCUGCCUGUCUGGUUUUUGUCUAUCUGUCCCCUCUUAGCCCUUCUAUUGUUCCCUCCCUGUCUCACAGCCCAACAACCAGUUCCACAUAUCCUCUAAGGCCUACCUCAAAAGGCAACACUUCCAGAAGAGUGUCUGUGACACAACAUUGCAGCUACCCUGGCCUGGGGCCUCAGCCUGGCUCCCCAGGCCCAGCACUCCAAUUAUCCCGGAAGCAGCUGAGAACAGUUGUUCCUUAAGUUGUUCAGGCAAUAAGAUGAGUGUCCAAUGCAUCCCCCACCAUUGUAUCAGAGAUUUCUCUGAGGCUUCAAAAUAAGAUCUGAGAAGUUUAUAGCCUAGUAAGUGAGAUGGACCUAUACUGAAGUAUAAUAUUAUUAAAACCCUAAAAUACGUAGGUGAUUGUCAAGUGAAAUAUACUUCUAAGAUUUGUUUCACAAUUAUUUCAUUCAAUACUCUUCUCCUCUCUAUCCUAAAGACUAUAAUAUUAAUCUUGGCCAAAAAAAAAAGUCACACUAUUUGUGUUGAGCUGAGGCUAAUAAAUAGAAUAUUUAAAGACAAUAAGAAAGCUAUUAUAACUCCUUACAUUUCCAAGAAAUCUUGGGCUCUUAAAACUAUCAUUACACAUACAUAAUAUACUAAGCCCAUCUAACCAUAGUCCAUUCAUAUAGAAUGACCUUGAAGAUGUUAUAGAGAUAAUUCAAACACUAUUAUUAUUGAUCAAAAAAAAUUUUGAGGGCUCACAACAUUUUAGUAAAUUGUCAACUCAUAUGAGUAUCUCAAACAAAAAAUAGGAAUAAACUGUGAACUUAAGAAUGCACAGGCUUCACCACUAAACAUGUUAGUCAGCUUUCCACUGCUGUGGGGGAAAAAUGCCUGAGACAAUUUGAAAACAGAAAAGAUCUAUUUGGAAUGACAAUUUCACAGGUUUCAGUCCCAUUGCUUUAUACCUGUAGCAAGGCAAACCCAUGAUGAUAUAUGGGUGUGUAUGAAACCAAACAAAACUGUUUACCUCAUGAAGGCUGAAUGAAGGAGGACUUGAGUCCUAUCACUCCUAUCAAGGGCAUGCCCUCCCUCUCAUGACGUCACUUUCUCCAACGAGGCCCAGAUCUCAAAGGUCCACCCAUACCCCAAUAGCAUCACAGGCUAGCAACCAAGCUCUGGAGGACAGUUAAGAGCCAAGCUGUAGCAUUCCACUUUCCCAGAUUAAAAAAAAAAAAAAAAAAAAAAGGCAUUCCCUGUAUUUCUAGGGAGAAGAUUAGCACCAUUUGUACUCUAUCAGACGUACAAGAAAUCAUGUGUAUACUCAUACGCUCACUUUUUCUCAGCUCUGUAGGGAAGAUCCUACCCACCACGAGCACAUUACUGUAAUAGACCUUCAAGGAUUUCAUGCUACUCAGCUUUGAACUCUGCCUCUCAUCAGGUCCCAGUAGUUCUUAAACUUCAAAGUGCUUACAAGGCCCACUGAAAUGUAACUAAGUAAUCCAGGGUGAGGUAUGGAUCACCCUAAACUGAUGCCUAUGCUGCUAGUCUGAUGACCAUACUAGGAGUGGCAGGGGACUUCACAACCUAGGCUUCACAUCACAAUCACCUGGCAAGCUGUCCAUGUGCUCCCCCACCCCCACCCCGGAAGGAAGACAGUCCUGGAGAACCAGAAACUGAGAGAGAUGCACCUAUUUCUAACAUGUCCUCAGUUUUGAGAACUGUAAUUCUAAAACUGUACAGCUCAAACAUGCUCUAUGGCCCAAUGGGUCCAAACUUCAAUGUGUGUGUGUGUACACGUGCGUGCAUGCGUGCGCACAAAUGGUAUUGUUGUUAUUGUGUGUGUGAUGUGUAUGGGAACACACGGGAUAUGACUCAUAUAUAAAGGACAGUUUUUAGAGUGGGUUCUCUCUUCCCAUCUUUGCAUAGGUUCCACGGAUCAAAUUCAGAUUGCCAGCUUUGCACAGCAAGUACUUCUGCCAACUGAGUCAGCUCCCCAGGCCCCAGAGAACUAUUUCUUCAAAGAAGCCUGUAUCUUUUCCCUUCCCACAAGCAAGCAUUAGUGUGGAACAUCUAGUUUUAUAGAUAGGGCAUUAAUGAACCUCUGCUGAAAGAAUGUUAUCACUUCCUCUGACAGUUAAAUAUUGUACUGAUAGUGACUUGCUCAGACAUCAUCAGAGAAGCAUCUUUUUGUAGCAGAUGGGAAAAAAAUAGAGACACACAGCCAGACAGAAUGAGAGGCCUUGGAACACUCAGCCCUAAGCUGGCUGUCUAUAUCAAACCCCUUCCCUCAGGGCCCAGGAAAUCCUGAGGAAAAGGAAGAGGAAGAGGAAAGAGUGUUUAGUUCAUGGAAGACUCUAAAAUAUAUGAAGUCUUCAUCCCACCUGAAAGAGAAGAGCUCCUAUUCUGUCUUUUUAAGCAUCUCUGUCUCAGAGGGGUCUCUUCGUCAGUAUAAAGAUGCUUAUGUCAUAUCCGGAGAUGACAAAGCUAAUCUGUAAGGAUCUGGUGAGUCCUCGGAAGCGUCUUUAAACCAAGGAAACAUAAAUCUCUUCUUCAGUCUUUGAAGGGAUAGCCUACAACGCUGCUGCUGUGCUACCCUUCAGCUAAAAGCAGGCGUAGACAUCUUAGUCAGAUUCCAAGCAUCCUGUGAAUGUCUUAAACCAUUGCUACUGUGUGGGGGAGACGGCUUAGCAUUGUUUAAAGCAUCGGCUACUGCUGUUCCUUAGUUCACCGUGUCUCUGUGUCAGCACUAAUGGAUGGAUAGAUGUGCUCUUUGCGGAUCAAUCGAAGACCAUUGUAAAGAGACUAUUUCUAGCUGAAGGAAGCAAACACUAAAGUGACUUUCUCUAAAUCUGCCAAGCAUACAGACACAUACAGAAAUCCCUGAUAGAAUCUGUAUAAAGCAAGAACUCACACAUUCCUCUUUUUUCUGGAAAGGUACAGAUGCAUUCUCAAUUUUCCAUUUCUUAAAAUUGCGUUAGUGGUUUUGAGGGUGAGCCUUGAACUUACUAUAUAAUUGAGGCUGGUCUUAAACUCCCAAUUCUCUUGCCUGCUGAGAUCCGGACAAGUAUUGCCAGGCCUGGCUCUAUGCAUUUUGUUUGGGAAGCUAAUUAAUACUGGAUGAGAACUGUAAGGUAUAUCAGAUCAGGUUAAAUUAAAAAUCUCUACCACAAAACAACAACAACAACAAAAAAUUGUAUUGGUGUGUAUAUAAAAGAUUGUUAGCAGCAUUUCAACAAAGGGAAAUGUUAGCCAUUCGAGUUCUUUAUUUAAGGCCACAACCCCCCUUGCCAUAGCUUCUUAGCUCCACACCUUUAUCAUUUGAAGUUGUAUUUGUUAAAAGACCACCUCGCCAAUCAUCACACCAAAAUUUGGAAAGCCUGUGUAAAUUAUAUUUUGUACAAAAAAAUUAGUAGGGUCCACAAUGGACACCCGGGUUCUUCCAUGUAUAACUGUCCUCACCACCCUCCCAUUGGAAAGUGUAUAUCAGUAAGAGGGUGAUCCCGGGGUCUCUGCAAUGACCUUCAAUUCCACAGUCCAUCAACCUUCCAGUAAAUGACUGACCACACUAUUUCACAAAUGCUGAACUUGCCAGGUGACUCCUACAAACCUGGAUUCUGUAUGCAACUCCUGUGACAGUUUUGGGGUUCAGUGAGUUAGAUCUGUGUUUGAAGUCUAAAGUUACCUUGACCCAACCCCAACUGCCCCAUAUUGAAACACUGACCCAAUCUUCCUUGUACUUUUUUCUUUCCCAAGAUUUUUCUUAUCUAUUUUCCUAUUAUACUUCGAAGAAUUACUCAGACCUCUGUGUAAACCAUGAACAGAUUAAACCUCACACUCUGCAAAUUCAUACACCAAAAUUAAAUUAGUUGGUAGGGAUAUUUCUACUUCACCAAAUAAAAGACGGAUUUCCACAAAUCAAUCAAGCUGUCCAAGAUGAAGCUGCUCUUUAUCCCCAUGUUUAUGCCCCCUUCUGCAACCCCCUACCGCACAGUGCUUUGUAUAGGAAAGCCAUGUUCCAGGAAGCCUCUGAAAGCUCAGGGCUGGGAGUCUGUCUGACAGCUAGGUGUUGAGGAGUGGCUAGCUGACUUUCCCUCUCUCUUAUCAGCAGCUAUCUCAUUCUCCUACCCUUUACUAAGCCUCUGACACUCUUAGCAACCCGAUUGUCCUUUUUUGAUUUGUUUUUGUUUGUUUUUGCUUCAUCUCAUUUGUUACUUCUUCAAUUAUAAUAGUUACUAUUAAUUUUAUUUUCUCUUUGGGAGAGAUUCUGUCUUUUCACAACUACACCCCUACUAAAUAACUAAAGUAACAUUCAAAAUUAGGUUUCACUGUGAAUUCUACAGGAGCGCCCUCUCCACAAAUGCAAUAACAAAAUAAAACAAACAACUGAGCAAGAACUUUCAAAUGGGAAAACAAACAAACAACAAAAACAAAAAAAAAACCGAAAAAGUACAUAACUUCACUACUAAAACCACUUUAGAAAUUUGUGGAGAGAAUGGGAACUCCCUUUCCUGGAGAAAAAAUAUUCAGACCAUAAAAAACUUAAGAGAUUCCUGGAGCCACAUCCAGCCACUACUAAACCAGGAGGCAGCAGUGAGCCCUGCCCCGAGUGACAGAAGAACAGUUCAGAGUCCCACAAGCCUCUAGGGACACUUAGUAAAGCCGAGAUUUUUCACUCACCAGCUAGCAAACAGCACAUGAUGUUAUUCUCUUCCUUUAAUAACUAUACAUAUGCAAAUGCCUUUCUGCUUUUAGACUGGGGUGCUAGAACAUUUCCUUAGGUUAUACUUUAGCCAAUUUCUUUAUCACUGCUCUUUCAAGCUACAUCUUCCCAAGCAGAAAGCACUAAGGAAAGAAAAAGGCUGAAGAAGAAAGAGCACAGCAUUCCCUUUGAGAGGAAGGAGGAGGAAGGGCAAGAGGAAAGCAGAAAACCACAAAUAUCAACUUCAGGGGACUGAACAGAGAAGCACUUCCCUCAGGCAUAUCAGCUGCACACAGAUGCAAUUCACCUCUUCUACGGAACUCCUACCCUGAGAGAAAAAUCUAAGAAACUGAAGUAUAAAACAGAUUUUUCACACAACGAAACAUAUUUGAGAGCAGUCUCUUAUAGCUGAGAGAGCCAGGGAAGAAGCUGCUGACGUACUCCUGUAUUUGCUGUCUCACUUCACCUCUGUCCAGACCCAGUUCAGCAGAAAUGGACAUUAUUCACCAUGGUUCCUGGUGACAAGGACAACACGUGUGGCUUGCAGUCUUCAGGUCAGACAGCACUUACUGGUCAGAGUUGUGGUCAUCUCCUGAUAGGCCUGCGAGAGAGAAACACCCAGACACAAAGGAACCCAUGGGGACGUGUGUGACUGAAGGCUUACUGGAAUCAGUCCAAGUCUGACAAGGAGAUUUGCUAAAUAAGUAUUAAGAAGAAGAACUCUAGCACUUCCCCGAAUACAGACCACAUGCGCACAGAAUUGAAAUCACAGCCCCUCUCCCUACAGGAGCGACAGUAGUUUACCAUGUCUGUCAAUGUCGGCGGAAGCUUUAAAAACUACAGAGCAGCACACGAACAGCGUUCAGGUCAGAGGAUGGGAUAAGAAGCAAGCCAUUAAUUGUAGAGCAAAGUCUCUGCAACAGCACAGAGAGAAGAAAGCUUGCAGCAGGAGCCCAUCUGAGAGCAACUACUUCUCAUAAUUGUACCACCAGGAGAAAGCCUGGACUUGCGAGCAAGAGUCUUACUUUCCUGGGAAGCUGAGUCCACUGCAACAGGGUACUGUGUGCAACAGGGUACUGUGUGCAACAGGGUACUGUGUGCACUUACCAACAAUUGCCGUCAGAGAGCUGAAGAUUGGAGCUGAUGCUGCAGACACUUGGUUAGGUGUUCUUGGAUGAACUGUAUUCUGAACAACCCAUGUUGAAGCCCUGACUUCAACCACAACUGUAUUUGGAGGUCAUUACAAUGAGAUCAGCAGAUUAGGUCUUAAACUAAGGUAGCUGGUGACUUUCUAAGAAAACAAUAUGAGAGACACAGAGAGAUAGCCAAAACAAAGACCACGUGAAGACAAAGGGAGAAGGUGCCAUCUGAAGCCAUGGGAAGGGACCUCAGCAGUAUCAACUCAAUAGUCAUGGACUGCUGAUUUUUAAACACAGGAGACAGUUUAGUUCUACUGCAUAAGCCACUCAGUCUGUGGUAUGUUAAGAGCCUAGCAAAUACAUCAGGGAAACCUGGAGUAAGCAAAGGCAAAAGAGACGUUGUCUAGAGUAGACAAAUGGUAAGUCAAGGUUCCCUCUCGGGGUUCUUAAAAUCAUUACCAGAAGAACCUAAGAAUGGACUCAAAUAGAAGCUCAAAGACAAUGUUACUAGAGUUUGCCAGAAAACCCCCAGGGCAGCCCAGCUAUAAACUGCAGAGGCAGCCCAGAGGAGGAGAGGGGAGGGUGGGGGGAGCAUUCCAUUUAAGCUAGCACAGAGGUCAAGAAGCAAGCAAGGUGGGGAAGGAGAAUUUAGAGAAAGAAUAAGGAAGCUCAAAAUGCUGGGGAGAGUCCAACGGGUUACAGAAAGCAUGUUUGAAACAGAUAAAGAGGGAAAGGGGAAAUCAGGUUUUCCUGGAUACUUUCUAUGUGGCUAGAUUUACUGUUCUGGAGGAAGAAAAAUUGGAAAAAGAAAUGGUCAAAUUGUUCCACCUAUCUCUUUAGCAUGCCUUAAGCUGACCUCUCUUUCCUGGGAAUGGUCCCUGGGCCAAAUAAAUAAAUAAAUACAUACAUACAUACAUACAUACAUACAUACAAACAAACAAACAAACAAAAUGGCCAGACGUGAACUGAAACGUUGGUCUACACCCAGGCCAGAGCUUCUGCUCUCACUGCAGCACAGUGACAGAACUGUAAGCGCGAGGUGUUCCCGUUCCUAGAAUAGCAGUAAGGAUGAGGGGCUGUAUCCUUAUAGGACUCCGCAGACAGCAACGUUUAUAUAUAAAAUUAUAAACAUGUAAUUAUGAAAAGGGCCAUGAUACUUUUUAAGCAAAUAAUCUAAGAGUUAGGGUUAGGGUUAGAGAAAUCAAAAGUUUGGAGAAGCAAAGAACAAAUUCAAUCCGUACUCAGACCAGAGGAAGGGGAGUGGGAGUCAUGUGUUUAAACUCAUAAAGAGGAGUGCAGGCGUCAUUAAAUUAAGUUGCAGGACUCUCCUCUAUGAUUCAAGUGGGCCUUAAAUGCAAUGACAAGUGUCCUGGGGAAGCAAGAGAGACACCAGACAGAAACUUUGUGACAAAAAAAAAAAAAAAACCACCAAGAGGGGCUCACAGAAAAGAUGGUAAUGUUCCUGGCUUUGCAGUGAAGGAAGGGAUCCAGAGCAGAGCAGGGCAUCUGCAGUGCAAGGAAACAUUAUCUCCUGGAGUCUCCAGAGAAGCAAACUCUGGUGCUUGGGAAGAAGGGGAUAACCACUCCCUACAACUAACUCUUCCCUUUUCCCUCAGUAGGCUAACUGCAUCUUCCCAAAGUCAGUAAGGACAUCGAGCUGGGACAGGAAGCCUCUCAAGAGAAGCUAAAAGCAUCCAGGAGAACAGUAGAGGAAGUGAGAGGCUAAAUCCUUCACUUCUGAGACUGAAGAGAUGAACAUCAAAAGAAAGGGCUAAUGCAGGAAAGGGGCCACAGGGUCGGAAGAGGUGCAAAGAGCGGUAACCCUGCCUCUCAGCUAGCCCUUUUGCCGGCUUGGCUGCCAGUCUCUUUAACAGUGUGAGCAAAAGAGACAAACCUGAAUCCAUGCCCUUUUGAAAAGCCCUGGAGGUCCAUUCUCAUUUUCCUACCAGCUGCUGUCUACUGACUAUGCCAACUUCCUGAAAGCAGCUCCCCUGGGCCAAGGGCAAAUGGACACUCUGCUGCUCCCUGAGGGAGGUGGAAAUCAGAGCCUGUGCACCAAUGGGGAGAGGAGGCAGAAGCUCCAAACACAGCCCAGCCACACCACCUUUUAUCAACAAGCAUGGAAAGCUGUAGAAAUCAUAUGAAAAUAAGCCUGUCACAGACCCAAACACACCUUCCACUGACCACCUUAGCUUAGACCUGCUUCAAUUGCCUUGCAAGAGUGAAGAUUAUAUUCCCUCUGCAAGGAACUGAACCUACCUUGGAUACAAUUCUAACCUGUAAGACAGUAGAAGCUUGCUUUAUUUAUUUAUUCAUUUCUUUAUUUACUAUUCAAUCCUUUACUCAUUUACCUGUUUAUUGAGAGUGUGGUAUAAAAUGUUAGGAAGAUAAGAUGCUAAGCAUUCGUCUAAAACAGCUUUCUAUAAAACAAAGUCAAGAUACCAGAAUCAAGUUUUCCUCACAGCUUGCUCUGUUAAAAUGGCAAGUGUCUAGCUCACUAGCUGGGGAGCUUCAAAGAAAGGCUUUAAAAGAAAAUUAACAACCAAAUACUAUUAGCUCACAAUAUCCCCUCCUCCGCCUUUCCCACCAUUUCACAAUUAGUAAUGAUUGAUGGGUGGGCCUUGGCCAGCAAAUGAGCAGGCCCAGUGAGUCAAGUCUCUACUUCACCUAUCUGUCUUUACCUGCCCAAACUUACCUUUUUUUUUUUUUUUUUUUUUUUUUUGGCUGCCUCAAGCUCUGGGUCUAUGUACUGAUACAUUAAAAUUCACAAAUAAAGCAAACGAAAUUAAGGUUCACAUUUUAGAAAAUCAAAACAAAUACUCUUAAAAUUUUGAACCUGCUUGCUAGACUCCUGGUUGGCAAGGAGAACUCUAGAGCCAUCCAUCCACACCACAUGCAGUGGAUGCUCCUGACCCUAUGCUAAGCUACAUGAGCAAGGAAUGCUGGGACUAUCCAACAGCAUAAUCAGAACCCAUGAAAAUUCAAGGAGACUCUAUGAUGUUUAUAAAUGUUCCUCAGUGUAUUAUUUAAUAAACAGGAAGUGGCAAGGCACUGAAAACAAGCAAUACGCACAGAAUGUUGUAAGAAACUCCCCCCAAAACAGCAUCUAUAUGGUUGAGGCAAAGAGGGACACCAAAAAGAACACUAGGUCCGAAAAACAGAAAUGAACACAAAAAUGAUACCAAGACUCAGGUAAACAUUCAUUAUUCGUGGCCUAGAUGAAUUGCUUAUCAAAAUUUUAUUUUAAAAAUAUAUAGAUAGCAAAAUCUAUUAUGUGGGUACUUCUGUUAAAUACUAAAAGUUACAUUAGUAGUUCACUAAUAAAAUCAUUUCUUCAAACUGCCCUGGUAAGGUUUUAUUAUUUUAGUUUGCUAUUACUGUAAUAAACACCAUGACCAAAAGUAACUUAUUUCCUCUUACAGCUUGUAAUUCAUCAUGAAGGGAACUGGCAAGGUCUCAUGGCCAGAAUCUAGAAGCAGGACCUGGGGCUUGGAUCACGGAGGAACACUGCGUAGCAGCUUGCUCCCCGUAGGUUGCUUAGAUUGCUUUUUUAAACAACUAAAGGGGUGAAAGGGCUUUGAGACAGUAACUUUACCUACAGCACCAAGCAGCUCCCUCCAACUGUAUGGCUUUAGCUGUACAAAGACACAAACUACCACUCGUAGUAAAUGCUCACAUACAAGUCAUUUAUUGUAAGCCACAAGGGUUAAACUUCUAAGAAACAAAAUGCUUGUUAAGAGUAAAUACUUUCUGAAUUUUGUUUUCUGAAUUUUAAUAAUUUCGUUGCUUGUUCUUUGAGAAUUUUAGUUAAUGUAUUUUAUUAAAGACAUGCACACACACCCAGUCCUCCAACUCUUCCCAUAAUCACUUUCUCCAUCUUCCCAUCCCUUUCCCAUCCAUCUUUGCGAUUUCUUCCUUAAAUUAAAAAACAAAAACAAACAAACAAACAAAAAAACAAACAAACAAAAAAACCAACCCUGCCCCUAGAAGCACUGUACGUGUGGCUGCUGUGUCACCGGUGUGUCAGUAGGUGGCAGAGAGGAGACAGGCUGUGCCUAAGCUCAGUGUUCUGACCUUUGAACAGCUGAAUGAUGGUAGCCUGACAUUCCCUGAAAGUGAGACAACCACCAAUGCAGCGCCAGGAAGGCCCAGAUGCUCCCAGGACAGGGAGCAAGCUGGAGAGCAAAAGAGCCCCACUGUGGUGGGAGUGAACCAGAGAGCUGGCCGUGGCCCUCACCAGCUACAGCACUCAGUUUCAGAUUCCAUUUGUCCAGUCACCACUUCAGGAAUGCCAUGCUGUUCCCUGAGGCUUUAAGAAGUCAUCAACUUCACCCUCAGAAACAAAGGAGCCAAGAGUUGAGCUUAAGAAAGCAAAGGCAGAGCAAGGCAUCCUGGGGCAGAGCUUCUAUGCACUGCUCACGCUAAGUGGGGAGCGUGUGGGCAAAUGCACCAGGAUGAACCAUCUGGGACGUCAACUACACCCAACUACCAGGAGAGUUGCUGGAGAACUAGCAAGCACUGUGACCGAACGCCUGAGGCUACCUCUUAGGCAUGCUGAAGUCUGAGUUAUACCUAUUCAUUCUGGAGCUACCAAAGGUUCUAAAAGGCCUAAGAGACAGCAGUGUAGCUGAGGACAUAGAGCAAAGUCCGUCCCUUUGAAGCCACAUCCACCUCCGCAUUACAAGCUACAACCACUAAGAACCUGGACACAUGUGUGGUCACCAUCAGUGUUGGAACACUGACAGGAAGAAGCCGGCAUCGCUGGAACUCUUUCAGUCAUUACAUUACGGCCUGGAAAAGGAGAUACAGCAAAAACUGGGAAGGCAGGAAUAACUGAGCUCAAUCCUGCCCUCAGGCGCUUUGCCAGCAUCCUCUCCUCCCAAGGUUCUCAGAAGGCUCUCUAGCAGCGAGUCACUGCUUCCAAAGCUUAUGAGGUCACCAAGGCCAUGACCAACGCCUAUGUGGAGUGAGGAAGAGAGCAUACAGCAUCACAGCAAAUCCAAGUGUCCUGUGCUUGAAAGGCAAAUCUUUGCCAAGACGCUUUCAAUGUCCUCAGGCAAAAAAGGCGCUGUCUAUUAAAACCUAACUCUAAAGUUGCUAUUAAUUUUAGUCUUAUAUAUACUAUAUGAAGCCAGAAUAUGGGCCAUGACUACAUAAAGUCAACCCCCAGCACCCCAAUCACCCCCCAGAAAAGGCUAAGCAUAAUAAUAUACACUUGUAAUCCCAGUGCAGUUGAGAUCUCUGGUCACCCAGUAUACCUUAACUGGGCAGUCUUAGAUACCAGAAACAGAUGCAGUCUCAAAAAACAAAAGGUUGAAGGCACUGGGGAGCACCAGAGUUUGACUUCUGAUCUCCACAUAGCAGUACACACAGUCAAUAUCAAGCAUAUUUAAUGCUAGCUCUUGACCCAUAUUUAGAAAGAUAAUUCUUUUAAAAUUUAUUUCAAAUCACUUCACUCUAUUUCAUGUACAUUUCCCUUCCAAACUUCCAAAUCUAAGAAUCCCAUGAAUUCCAAACAAAUAAGCCUUUCAGUAAGAUUUUAAGAACAACAAAAUAAAAAAAAGCAAAAAAAUAUUAAUCCAUUCUAUAUUCAAGACAUUUAAACCUCAAUGGGUCCUAGGCCACAAAAUAAGAACUCUAAUUCUAUACAGUCUGUCUCCACUUGGCUAUAUUUUGUCUGUCUCUUUCUUUGUGUGCCAUGUCAGGAUCGACCCCAGGGCCUCAGACAUGCUAGGCAAGCACUCUCCUAUAGCAUCACAGCAAAUCCAAUCCCCCAACCCAAGAACAAAGACAGAGACAAAAACACAAAAAACAGGCUAGGCAAAUAACCAGAGGCUAAUUCUGUAUCCGCCAUCCAGGAAUCAUUCCCCAACCCUCCUCCUUCUCCAUUUUUUCACAUUUUUCCAUUAUUCUAAACAACUGUAUUCAUCUGCUCAGUGAUGAAUCUGACAGCAUCAACCUGGUCUUCCUACCUUGCUCUUCCCACGAUAGUCCUUCAUCUCAAAACAAUACUAGAGAAGCUAGACUGCAUCACUAACAGUCGGUACGUCUUUUAAAAGAUUUCUGAGACAAAUUCUUAUACACUGUUACCCAUGCUGGUCCUUAACCUGCUAUGUAGCAUAGGUGCUAGGAUUAUGGGUGUGUGUGCCACACCUAACUAACUCAAAAACUCUGUCCUCACAGACAACAUUUAUGAGUUUGUCUGUCUCUUGGGAUACAAAUAUAACAACACUACCGCUACUCUUGCAUUUGACAUUGGGAUAAUAUCUCUCAUACCAAUAAGUGGUCCCCCAUCAAGGUUAAACAGAUAAUAAGUAUAAAUCGCCUGAUCCUAGUGCACUCUCUCAGAUGAAUAUUCAGCAAAAAUGUUGCUCAAUUAUUAUUUGAUUUUUAAAAUUAUCAAGUCAGAAUGUAGAGUGUGAUCCUAGAUAGAUAGGUAAGAAGGAGUUUUAAUUAAGGAAAAGCAUGAUUAAAUAGGUGCUUCUAAAGGUUACCAAUCAAUGUCAUAUCUGACUGGAAUUCAAGAAAUAAGCAGCACAGAGAAGAUCGAAGAGAAGCGGCAAUGGAGAAUGCUACUCAAAGGUGAUUUGGAAUGUUAGAGUAAUGAAUUAAAGCCAAAGUCAUGACACAGUGGGAAGCAGUCCCACAAACCACAAAUGAAUGAAGUAAAUAAGGAAAGUAGAAAAAUCCCUGAGUACUCCAGCUAGGAGCAGGAAUUAAUGUAUGCUUAGGGACAACGCUCACAGCAUAAUCUGACUAGGAAUAGGACAUGGGACCAGAAUCUCCGCACAGUAGAAGGGUUACUGUCCAGAAUACAAGAGGCCCUAGGUUCAAUCCAUAUCAGUGAAGUUAAAGAUAAAAAAGAUAGAAAGUAAUUUUAUAUUCUCAUUAACAUCUUAACUCGCUCCUAUUUAACUAAUAAAUACAAUUUAAUAUGGCUGUGGUCAAACAUUAGAAGUUAAAAAGAAAUGUAACAAACAUUUUGCGACUCUAAUUAAAGGUAUAUAAAUUCACCAAAACAGAAAAUUCAGUUACAUUUAAAGGAUAAACUCGCUAAACACAAACUAAGAAAUGGCUGUAAUUAGUCAAUUCAAUAUUUAAGAAUCUACAGUCAAACAAAAGGGAAGACUAGAAACUGUACUUGAAACUAUCUGAAGACAUAAGCAGCAGACCAGGGAACUAGAGAGAACUCAGCCGUCAAGAGCAAGCAUUACUCUUGCAGUGGAAUCAAGUUCAGUUCCCAGAACCCACUCACAACUUCCUUUUAACUCCAACUCCUUUAGGAUCUCUUGACCCUGCCUCUGUCUCCAGCCUCUGCAGGCACCUGCAAUUCAUGUCCAAAGGUGCACGCACACACGCGCACACAAAUAACUCUUUUCUCUAAAAAAUAAAUCAUACCUUAUAGUUAUGAUUAUGCAGCCAUUUUGUUUCUCCUUAGCAAAUACCAGAAUAAAUCAUAUAUACUAUCUAACAGAAAGACUCCCAGGUAAUAAUCAGCAGUAGACGCACCUUCCACUCCACAGCACGCAUUCCAUUUAGCCAAUAACUGACUUGCUUUCCUGAUAAGGCCAUAUUAAACUCAUGACAAUGACAUUCACUUUAUAAAUAAUUUAUAUUUAAAAUGAACGGAGGUCGACUGUGACUCUUAAAAUCGUGUCAUGGACAUCAGGGACUCCUUUUCCUUUAUUUCCAACAUUAAAUAUAUUAGGGUCCCUAAGAUGGCUCUUUGAGUCUAAACCUGAGCCCAAUCCUGGGGGCCCACGUGGUUGAAAACCUGACUCUUGCAAGUUGUCAUCUGACCUCCAAACAGUCACUGUGUGCAUACAAAUAAAUAAGCAAGCAAACAAACAAACAAAUAAAUAAAUAAAUACAAACACAUAAUAGGUAGUUGCUUUUUCUUUUAGGAAAAAAAAAAAGCCAAACUGAGUUGUUAAGGCACUCCUGAUAUGUCUGUCCUCUUUGGCUAAAAAUAUAGCUAAAGAUAUAUCCAAAAGACUUGGAGUUAUUCCACAUAACCAUUAAUCUGGUGCCUCUAUUCCAUCCAUUACCUGAAGUGCCUCAACUUGCUUAAACUAUAUCCUAAUUGUUCAUUUUAGAUUUAAAAAAAAAUGUUUUUCAAAACAUUAUGCUUGAUUACAUACGAUAUAAGUCAGGGACUAUGCUCAGAAGGUUACCUUCUAUUCUAGUUUGCUUUGUGUUGCUGAUCAUCACUAUGACCCCAAGAGCAACUUGGGGAGGAAAAGGUUUACUGUACCUUACAGGUCCACCAUCAAAGGCACCGAAUGCAUGAACUCAAGGCAAGAACUUAAAGCAGAAACCACAGACAAAUGCUGCUUACUGUCUUUCUCCCUCUGGCUUCUCCUCCUUGCUUGUUUAUCUACCUUUCUUAUAGAACUAAAGUCCUCCUGCCUAGAAUGGUACUUCCCACAGUGGAAUGGGACCUUUCAUCAGUUAGCAGUCAAGAAAAUGUCCCACAGAUAUGUCCACAGGUCAAUCUUCCAGAGGCAAUUCCUCAACUGACAUUCUCUUUUCCCAAGUGACUCUUGUCUGUGUCAAGUUGACAGCCAAAGUUAAAUAUGACAUCCUCUUACAACCACCUGAAAAUCUAUUAUCAUUUUUCUAUUUUCUCUUAUCAUAGCUAUCUCACAAGGCAGGAAAUAUAUAAAGGUUGAAAGUUCUAUCAGACCAGCAGUAGACCCACAGCAUGCCAUGAUCAUUGGAAGAGAUAGACUUGGACACCAUGUGUAGUCUGACCUACUACCAUAAUAAACGUUCCCUCUUGAUUUCUCCUUCUAAAACUAAAAUUCCCCUUAAAACUUGUCUCAUUCACAUACCAGAGCCUCACAGGGUUCCCUGUGCUAUUAAUUCUCACUUACAAACUUUAGUGGGGUCUUUUCUAUAUAACUGUCUAGCAAUAACUAAAUAAAAAGCAUCAACAUUGCCAACUAGUAUCUCUUCCUCAAAUUUACUCCAAAAGGAGAGAGUCCAUCAAAACAUUUAGAAACUAGUACCACUGAUUAGAAAACUUUGAAACACUAAAACCACUGAUUAGUUCCUUAAAUACAUCUUAUACUAUGCAAGAAUUCCUAUUAUAGAGCAUAGUUCAGAGGGGAAAAAUGACUGGAAAAGGGAAGAAAGGAAUGGUCAAGUAGUCUCUAUUAUAAAUAAUGAAUUACUAGUAUUGCAAAAGUUCAAAAUGGCGUUAAGACUUGUGGCUUUUCCUUGCAUGUGUGUGGCAUACAUAUGGGAAUAUGCACGUCCAUAUACGUGAGCAGAUGUGCGGGGACAGGGAGGUGGAAGCCCUAACUUGAUAUUAGGUUUCUUCAUUGAUUAUCUCUACCUUCACUCACUGAGGCAGUUUGCCCUGGAGACCCCUUAUCUCUGCUUCCCAAGGACCAGGCCUUUACAGUGCCAGGCGGCUACAAUGCCUGCCCAGCUGUUACUGAAAUUCUAGGUAUCUAAACUCCACUCUUCACACUACUAGGUAUAAGCACUUGAUCAACAGAGCCAUCUAUCUCCCUAGCCCUAACUUUUAGUCGAAAAUAUACAGUAAAUAGUUUUGAAACAUGAAACAAAUGCACCAGAAGCCAAAGGGAGAGAAAAGCGUGGCCAGCCCACAAAUGUGCCAUUCCUGUUUCCACACUGUGCUUUCUGCUUGCUACCACUCUGUGGCAGAUGGGGCACCGUUCGGGUAAAUGACUUCCCAUAGAAUGGGUUCCCUAUAGGCACAACUUCCUCAAGUUCAGUUCAGAGGGAAGAAAUACAAGCUUGAGUAGGCAACAAAUAUUUCUACAUAUAUAGAUAAAAUAGAUGAAUUAAAAUAGUCCCUACUCAAUUAUUCUUAAUUUUCCACACAAAAUUUCUUAUAAUCCAGAACUCUUAUUAGUUUUUUGAUUUUGGGGGGUUUUGUUUGUUUGUUUUGGUUUUGGUUUUUUAUUUCAAAGGUUGAGUUGCCUCUUUUGAGUUCUCAGAGCAGGCAAUGAUUAUUCCCUUAGAGUUACCUCCUGGGCUAUUCUUGACUUCUAGGCGGGGCCCCUAAAAUGUCCUGAGAGGCUCUGAAGUACUAUUCUGCAGAGAGGCACAAAGAUUCCUGUGUCUACAUGGAUUCUCAACUCAUUCCAAGUCACUGGCUCCUAUUUUAUAACCCCUCUUGCUUAUUAUAAAACUCAAAGAAAGCAUAACACUAUAAAUAAGGUAACCAAGAUAGCUUCACAGGGUAUACCCCCUUAUCCAGAGUUUUAAUCAUUUGUGUUGCUUUGGGGUCAGACUUUUUCCUUUUCUUUCACAAUUCUCAAAUGUUGUUUAAAAUCCAAAGUUUAAAAUAGUCUACUAAAAUACAAUUUUCAUGACUACUUUAUUCUUUAUUAAACCUCAGCUCAUACAAAGGCUCAUUCAUUUUAAAUUGCUAUUUUUAAAUGUGCCUUACUCCCCAGCUCAUUGCUUAGAAUAUGUUCACAAUUAGGCACUCUCUUUCUCUGGAAUAAAAAGGAAAGUUCAGAAUUAUUUCCCUUCCAUCUAAGUUCUUCCUCCCCACCCCAACUGCCAUCCUGAAUAUCAACAUUAUUUUAAACUUUGCUGUUAUCUAUUACAAUAGCUCCAUUUAUAGGCCAUUCAUAAAUGCCUCUCUGAACAUUUGGGCAUGUGGAUUUUAACUCAGCUAGUGCUACAAUUCAGAUGCUGUAUGUCUCCCAGGAAUCUUAUGUAUUACGGGCUUGGGCCCUGUUGGGAAGUGGCAAGAUGUUAAAGGGUUAGGCCACGUGGAGAUAUGGGUCCUAUAUGUAUGUAUGUGUCCUUAUAGGGAAUUGUAAAUUGGAAGCUUUGUCACAUAGCUAGUUUUUGUCCUCCCUCUCCCAUCUGAAUAAAGAUUUUGGGGCUCUGGCUCUAAAAAUUUCAAUUACCAACCGUCUGACCAUAGAUCUUGGCUCUAAUCAUGUGUUCACCUUUUUAUAUUUACUCUUAAUAAUGUGAUUGGUAGACACACCUAUCCUUACAUUUCUUAUCACUAAGAUCUUGUGUUUGUCAAUAUGACAAGUCUCCACAUGAAACACAGCUGAUACCCCAGGGUCUGAAGUACAUGCAGGUCAUACCGGCAUGAACCUGAAAGUGACUCUUAUUCCAGAACUAAUAAUGUUCACAAGACUGUGUAUCAUUAACCAACAGGAGGUACUGAUCAAAUGUUGAGAGCUGUCACUACCUACCCCUAAUUUGUCUUCACCAAACAUCAGAUUUAUCACUUUCUUUCAUGACCUAGAGACUGUUAUGCCUUCAAGUAUGUGAGCAAUGACCAAGCAAACUAACAAACAACAAAUGAAUUGGUUUCCUCAAAUAGCUUUUUCUGAGAACUGACUGGACACAGGGAGGCCCUUUCUUGUCAGAUUCCACUGGUAUUUUUCUCGAGGUUGUCUGCCUCCAGUAUUUGAUUAUAGUACUAGCAUGAAGUUGAAUAAUACAUUCAGUUAUGCAAGAUAGUUUAUAGUACCUAAAAAUAUAUACACAUGUUCUGCAAAAGUGUAAAAGAAACCCCUCCAAAUGGAAUCAGGGAAAGCCCUGCCUGUGGAGAAAGGGAUGUGUCCUUCAGAAACCUGCAGUGACUCUUCACAAAGGAGCCACAAGCUCUGCCAGCACAGCACGGCCUUUUCCUCUUACAUCUCAACACCUCAGUGCAUGUGACCGUGUGUGUGCACCAACCAUAUCCUCAGGUGGGAAUGCACACACAGUAAGUAACAAAAUCAGGACUUACUAUUUGAUUUGAACUGCUCUAAAGACUUACAGCUUCUUAAAGUACUGAUUGGACACAAGAAGACCCUAUGAGCUAUAGAAAAGGUGUCCCCUUUCACCAGUCAAGCAUGUGUGAUUUUUUUGCAAUGGAUGAAAGUUAAAACACGAGAAGCAAUAGGCUCACUCCUCCAUUUUGACACCUGAAUAUUAUCAUUCCCACUAGAUGGGCCUCAAGUUUAAUAUAGCUUUUUGCUUUAUUGUCCAAAGCAACGUGUGAGCAAAAUAAAUGGAAGCUUAAUAGCAGAGUAAAAGCCAAAACUCUUAGUAAUAUAGCACCUGGGGUUCCCCAUACCCAUUCCUUCCACUGAGUUUAAUGAACAUUACUAGCACGACCUCAUUCAUCCAUAUAGCAAAAAUAAAGCGUCCCUCCUUUCAGUCUGUUUCCCUUGGGAAUUUGUCAUAAUAAUAAAAGACUGAAAACUGCCCUAGACUUCAUGAAACCAUUAUGGCCUAUGGCUGUACUUCUAAAAUAUAGGUCUCUUCAAUGAGAGGAGUGGGCAGCAAGCAUUUUAAUUCCCCUUUAUAAGAUGGAAAGUGGGCUGAAUAACUUUUUGCAGUACUAACUACCAGCAUGCAAGCCUAUAGUUAGGAAACACUUGACAGACAUCGGAUAAAAUACAGUAGGCUACUUUAAAGGAAAUGCCUCUAAGAUGAGAUGGAUUUCUCAGUAAGGCACUACACGCUACACUGUUAUCCCAUUUCUCAGUCUUCAAAGUCUAUAAUAAGCUGUCAAAGUAAUUUUUAAAAAUGCAUACUUCCUAUGAUAGCUAAUCUUGACCAUCAGCCUGACUAGAUGGAAAAAUACCUCAAUGAUUAAUAAGGAACACUCUUCAAUAUAAGUGUGGAGCGCUGGGCUGUGAAAUGUAGACUGCUUCCUGGCUGAGCUAAGGUUAGAAACCUCAGUGACCCUGCUGGGACAGUAGGUGGUUUGCCUGUUCCUGGGCACCAAGGUUCCUGUCACAUAGCUACAGCGCCCCACCCCAACCCCCAACAGUCCCUUUAGAGAGGUUCGUGGUCAUCAGUGAUGUACGAGCAGUACCCCAAGCCCUCCCACAUGUAGAUAAGGUAUCCCCAAGAAUAUAGGAAGUACCUACUGUCAGACCCUGACCCAUGCCAAAACUGUAUAUAAGAAUCCCAUCCAUGAGGAAUACAGGUAUGUGAGAAUUACUCUGCUAUCUGAGAACUUCUGUCAUAAGAGCUGUAACACUGCCACUAGGUAAAGAGAUCUGCUUUCCAGAAAAUGCCACCAAAAGCUCCCACCCACCCAUCCACCCAUCCACCACUCGCUGGCUAGUCAGCCUCCUGCUGGCCUCACCUGACUCAGCACAGAGCGACCAAUGCAGCAUCUUGGAGCAACUGAAAUGACAGCUACCGCUACCGCUACCGCUACAGAGGGGCAGAAAGGGAGGUGGAGGCAGCUGCAGCAGCAGAGGUAGCAGCAGCGAAGGUGACUCCCCUUCCCUGCUCCCAUUCUCGUUCCUGCACCUGAAUCCUCGCAUCUGGCUGGGCCAGAGAUCUCCCUGGAGUGCACAGGUCUACAGGUAUCUGCAGAAACAACUGGCAUGUGGGCUAUAGCUGAGGGAUAAAAUCUUAAAAAGGAGGAAGGUAGCCACCAUAGAAAUUGUGCGUGUGUGUGUGUGUGUGUGUGUGUGUGUGUGUGUGUGUGUGUGGUGAGAAAAGCAUGUUUCCUCUACCAUAUCCUUUUACUGUGAGUUUAUGCUUUGCCAAAGACCCAGAAACAUGGAAUCAGCCUGCCAUGGAAUAAAACUCCACACACUAUAAGCCAAAAUAAAGCUUCCCUCCUUUCA